rnacentral:rRNA from 1 species
AGUGAACGCUGGCGGUAGGCCUAACACAUGCAAGUCGAACGGCAGCACAGUAAGAGCUUGCUCUUACGGGUGGCGAGUGGCGGACGAGUGAGGAAUACAUCGGAAUCUACUUUUUCGUGGGGGAUAACGUAGGGAAACUUACGCUAAUACCGCAUACGACCUACGGGUGAAAGCAGGGGAUCUUCGGACCUUGCGCGAUUGAAUGAGCCGAUGUCGGAUUAGCUAGUUGGCGGGGUAAAGGCCCACCAAGGCGACGAUCCGUAGCUGGUCUGAGAGGAUGAUCAGCCACACUGGAACUGAGGCACGGUCCAGACUCCUACGGGAGGCAGCAGUGGGGAAUAUUGGACAAUGGGCGCAAGCCUGAUCCAGCCAUACCGCGUGGGUGAAGAAGGCCUUCGGGUUGUAAAGCCCUUUUGUUGGGAAAGAAAAGCAGCAGGUUAAUACCCCGCUGUUCUGACGGUACCCAAAGAAUAAGCACCGGCUAACUUCGUG